UACAGAGGUCCCAAGCGUUGUUCGGAUUCACUGGGCGUAAAGGGUGCGUAGGCGGUCGGGUAGGUCUGAUGUGAAAUCUCACAGCUUAACUGUGAAACUGCAUUGGAUACUAUCCGGCUCGAGGAAUGGAGGGGAGACUGGAAUACUUGGUGUAGCAGUGAAAUGCGUAGAUAUCAAGUGGAACACCAGUGGCGAAGGCGAGUCUCUGGACAUUUCCUGACGCUGAGGCACGAAAGCUAGGGGAGCAAACAGG
rnacentral:rRNA from 1 species